rnacentral:rRNA from 1 species
AUUGAACGCUGGCGGCAUGCUUUACACAUGCAAGUCGAACGGCAGCGCGGGCUUCGGCCUGGCGGCGAGUGGCGAACGGGUGAGUAAUACAUCGGAACGUGCCCAGUAGUGGGGGAUAGCUCGGCGAAAGCCGGAUUAAUACCGCAUACGACCUGAGGGUGAAAGCGGGGGAUCUUCGGACCUCGCGCUAUUGGGGCGGCCGAUGGCAGAUUAGCUAGUUGGUGGGGUAAAGGCCUACCAAGGCGACGAUCUGUAGCUGGUCUGAGAGGACGACCAGCCACACUGGGACUGAGACACGGCCCAGACUCCUACGGGAGGCAGCAGUGGGGAAUUUUGCACAAUGGGCGAAAGCCUGAUCCAGCAAUGCCGCGUGUGUGAUGAAGGCCUUCGGGUUGUAAAGCACUUUUGGCGGGAACGAAAAGGACUGUGCCAAUACCACGGUUCGAUGACGGUACCCGCAGAAUAAGCACCGGCUAACUACGUG